GGGAGCCGAGAUGGCCGAUGAGAUUGACUGGCUAGACUUGCCCGGCCGGUGGACCUACGGAGUGGACCGUGGAGGGAGAGUGUUCUUCAUCAAUGAUGAGGAAAAGUCAACCAGCUGGGUGCACCCUGGUACAGACUCUCCCAUUCAAAGUGGACACUGCUUUAGUCCAGAUUUGCCUAAGGGCUGGGAGAUGGAUUCCACCCAGGAAGGAGCUGUGUUCUUCAUCAA